CGCCCCACUAGUCACAGAACUGGGUCGGACCAGCCCGUAAACCAUCGACAAUACAUUCACUUUCCUCUCUAAUAGUCAGUUAUUUCUUGAAACUGGAUUCUGAAGGGUGGGAUAUAUUAUAUUAUUGAGAUUACCAGAUUCGUAACACCUGGUAUGUAAUUGUGGGAUAAAGAAAGUCAUUACUUUGUUAAUGAGUAAAUAAGCACAGCAGUAACUUGAGCCAGAUGUAAAUACACACUAGGCGCCUGCCUCCUACAUUUGACCUGUUGUUGUUGAGUGGGUACAAAAAGUGGUAAGCACCUACAAUGAACUUUCUUUGUUCUGCACCAGCAAAGGAGUCCACACCUCUUUUGCUGCACCCGCAAGGGAGCUUGGAGCCCUCUUUCCAUACAUAAUGUCCCCCACUGGUCAAACAAGGUGUAAGAAUAUUUUCAGCAAUAUAUGUUUCUGAUUUUUUGUUAACCAGCAUGUCCUUGGAUAUUAAAAAUAGAAGUAUUUUAAAGUAUUAAGUUAAGAACUUGUACCUUCAUAUUCCUUAUGAGUCAUCCAUAAUAGUUCAGUGUUACAGGUAAUCACAAUCUAUGCAAAGGGCACAAUUCACAGAAUGCAAGUAGCCUUAAAUAGAGGCCAAAUUUUACAUUUUUGAAAGGUCUUUUUUUUUGUUUCUUUAAAUUGAAAAGAAUAAGUACAGAGAUAAUCACUUAGGUGAAGUUUAAUUAAAGAUCACAUGAAGCUAAGUGCAAAUAUAAUCUCUGAGAUUAAAAUUUCAGCAUCUUUGCUCAGGAUGGGUACCAAGUGCCUUGUUUGAAAUACAGAUUAUUAACCCUUUCAUUAGGAAUCCAAUUUGGAACCCAAUUUGAAGUCUGUGCAACUUCUGCAAUUAACAUUAACAAAAUGGGUUUGCACCUUAGUUUUGUUGGUAUAAGCAAAGUCAAACCUGAAUCCUACCCUCCAUAUGUAUCAAAUGUUCUCCUUGGAUGGGACCAAAACUGGAAGUCUAAUUGUCAGUGCAGCUGGGAUAUCUAACUUCCUUGUAAACGAGAGAGGUUUUUGAAGAGGGAUAAUAUGUCCUGAAUUCUGCUUCUGCAGUUAUGUCAGAGGAGAAUAUUAUUAUUGGUGAUGGCAAAAAUGAGGAAAGAGAAAGAAAAUGGCCUACCCAGGAUAUGACUGUAGUUUUUAAAACUUUAAGCACAGAAUUAAUUAGAGCCCAUCUGUGCAGAGAAGUACAAGAGGGAGACUGUAUCUUCUGUGAAGAUGCUGGGAGUAGGCUGGACAUGAGCCAGCCCCGGUGCUGGAGUCCAUAGCAGUGUGAUUGUGGCGUUAUCACCAGAGCUUCUGGGGCUGUCUGGUCCACAGCAAGUGCAUACCUCUGUGCAGAUAUUCCCUUUCUCCUCUGCUGAGGAAUGCUUGCAACUUGAUUUGGCAGGUUCAUCAGCUCCUCCUGAAUUGCUGUUUGCAGCUGGGACUGGGAACAAGGCCAGUCUGAAGCCUUUCUGACAUCACGCCAGUCAGAAAAAAAAUCUUGUGCAGUGUUCAUUCUUAGGGGCUAUACAAAAUCUCAACAAAGUAGGUUAAAACCUCCCCUCUGCAAUGGAGAUUCAUUCUCCAGAAACAACGGUGCACAAAGACCUCCAAGAAAUAAUUUCCAAAUUAAUACUGUAGUUAAUAGAAUUAACAAUAUGAGUAUAAAAAGAUAUUCUUCCAAACUCUCACCUUGUUUGUUCUUUUGUAGUGUUUUAAUUUUUCAUAAAAAAUAAAAAGAAAGAUUAUUGUUUUUGAGUGUUAGGAUCAGCAGUGACAUUACAACCAGUCAUUACAAACUGUCUUUAAUUGUUGGCCAUUCUGACAUCAUCACUUGUGUUUAAACAUAUCAGAAGUAUCAGUUCUGCAUGAAACAGAACAGUAAAUAGCAGGACUGUCUUUUGAGAUUUAGUACCUAAUCGCAGACUGUUAAUGAGAGAGUGGAAUCUGUGUGAAAGACUGAAUCUUGUUCCAAUUGCUAAUUAAUCUAAUACAUAAAUCCUCAAAUAGUGAUCUCAUGCCCAACAAAAUGAGGUUCUUGUUUCUGUGGAAGAUGCAUUUUUAAUAGCAAAAACGUUAAUAAUUAGCCAGUUGACAUGGAAGGCUUUAUGCAGAAACAAUACAGUGCUAUAUGUGAAAACGUUUCCAAAUGGAGAACUUUCUUUAUUUACAGGACUGUUCAGAGCAAAAAGCUAGAGAAUUCGCAUUUUAGAUUGCAGUUUGCGUAUUUACUGAAAUGCUCUGCAUUUUUUUUUUUUUGAUGUUGCUUAUCCUCCCUCACAUCAGACAGACCUACAUUUCUCUGAGACAGUUUCAUCUGCUGACAUCGAUGCAUUUACACCACAGAUGAAUGAGGCUAUUUUUGUCUUGUCCUGGUAAUGGCAGCAGCUGCUAGGCUUGAUUGUGAGCUCAAGAGUCCCAUCAUCUGUCACUGUCUUUAUCUUCCCAACAAGAUUUUUGUCAAAAUAAUUGUGAUCGUGCAGACAACAGACCUCAGCUUUCUGCUUGAAUCCAGCACACAGUGACUACACUGGAAGCAUGCAGAAUGGUGAGGAGCAGGAGAAAUGCAGUUUUGUACUACCUCUUCUUUAUAAGUUCACAGGAUGGCCGGCAGGAGCAGCAUCACUCCAGAAUGCUCCAUUGUCCAUGAGGAAGCAUCAUGCCACCCUGAGGUGCAGUGCUGAACUUUUGGGAACCGGCGAGCGUGAAUCAGAACUGCUACUGGUCCUUGAAGAAGAUAUUCCUCAAGGAGGAACAUCAAGUACUGGCCCAGCAGAACCACUGAGAAAACUGCCAAUGGUUGCCUUUAUUGUCUUGACAUUCUGCACUGUGGCGAGUAUUGUGCAUGCUUCACGAUGUGCAUUGUGUCUUGGGCCACCACGUUGUGGGGGCUCACCCCCUACCUGCUCAGUCAUUAGUUCAUGCUGUGAAGGGGUGGAGUGUAGUGGAAUUCUAAGGUCACAGCCUGAACCAAUGGGUGAGCUAUGUGAGUGUGUGGCUGCCUGGAGCAGGGAGGUGGUCUGGAGCCACCCCUUCUGUCUCUGCAAUACUUCCUGUGCAAUCUGAGUCUGCACGGUUCCCCAUUUUUUACUCCUGUAUUUCAUCCUUGAAAAUAAUUGUUCACAAAUAUAUGUACUGCCAAGAAGUGAUGACAUGAAUAAGGAGUGAUUAUGAAGGGAGGAAAGUUUUUCUCUGGUAACAUAGUGCUUAUGAGAGUGAAGCAGCAUGGUCAGAUCUUUGACUUGAAUUCUGAUUGCAACUUUAUACACACCAUUUAAAAAUUCCCAGGUAAUGUAUUCAUGUCUACUGAAAAUGAAGUUACAAAUGUACUAAAAAAGUGAGGACUUUUUUUAGGUGAUCUUGAAACCUGUUCUCAAAUUCCUUUAUUAAAAUGGAAAGCACAGCUGAAUAUUUUUUGCUGUUCACAGUGCUGUGUUUAGAUAACGUAUCAAAAUGCAUGCAAUUAUUUGCAGUAACUGGAGCUAGAACAACACUGUGUCCUCCCUGUGCCCUGGUUUCAGCUCAGACAGUGCUAACAGAGCACUGACAUUUGGCUGUUGCUGAGUGAUGGGUGCAUUCUCAGGGCGGGGUAUGGACAUCUGGCAGGGCAAAGCCAUAGUGGCAGCAGUAGGCAGAUGGUGCGGGGCAGGGGCAAGGCUUCACUGUCAGCUGCUGCUGGGCCACAUGAGGCCCACAGGCCAUGGGUUGGAUAUGACUAGUCUAAGCUGUUUCCUUCUAUGUCCUUUCCUCUGCUUUGUUUUUGAAGUUGUGGCUAUAGAAUAAGCAAAACAUAAAUAACCAGUUAAAAGCUCAGAAGAGAAGGGCAGUCAUAGACAGUACAGAAUACUUCUUGGGUUGUUCCUAGAUAAUACAUUAUUAUGGGCUGUUUGCCAUUUUCAGCCACUUGUGUGUUGCCAUGACCUUUUAAAUACAUGGAAGUAUUCAGGUAGGAAAAGACCAUAGGAGUUGACCUUAUUCAACCUCCUACUAAAAGAGCAGCUACAUUUGAAUAAAACUAGAUUACUAAAGACUUGAAAAAGAAUGCUGGCACCACUCAUUUUUUCCAAAUCCCUGGCUAAAUUUUGAACUGAAUUCCUUUGUCACCUCAGAUACCUAGCUGGAACAAAUUAGUACUUAUACAAGUCUAAUUUGUUCUCCAUUUCUCUGCUGAAAUACUGGCCCCUGUAAGGAAAUAGGCACUGUGGAAAGGAAGGAUGUCUUUAUGGUAAAGUCAGUGAGUUAUGAAAAUAUCAUGGUUUUGUAACUUUGCUAUUGGUAUUCCACAUCAUAACAUCAUGGACAAAAGAGAAGAACUACGUAUCCCAGAGGACCUCACGGUCAGAGAAGGAAGAUACAUCACGGAAGAUACGU